AUUGAACGCUGGCGGCAGGCUUAACACAUGCAAGUCGAGCGGGGGAGGUUGCUUCGGUAACUGACCUAGCGGCGGACGGGUGAGUAAUGCUUAGGAAUCUGCCUAUUAGUGGGGGACAACAUUCCGAAAGGAAUGCUAAUACCGCAUACGCCCUACGGGGGAAAGCAGGGGAUCUUCGGACCUUGCGCUAAUAGAUGAGCCUAAGUCGGAUUAGCUAGUUGGUGGGGUAAAGGCCUACCAAGGCGACGAUCUGUAGCGGGUCUGAGAGGAUGAUCCGCCACACUGGGACUGAGACACGGCCCAGACUGCUACGGGAGGCAGCAGUGGGGAAUAUUGGACAAUGGGGGGAACCCUGAUCCAGCCAUGCCGCGUGUGUGAAGAAGGCCUUUUGGUUGUAAAGCACUUUAAGCGAGGAGGAGGCUACCGAGACUAAUACUCUUGGAUAGUGGACGUUACUCGCAGAAUAAGCACCGGCUAACUCCGUGCCAGCCGCCGCAGUAAUAC
rnacentral:rRNA from 1 species